CUUCGAUUACAGUAAUAUUUUUUACAAUUGGUUAUAGAAUUAUUCUGGAUGAAGAUGAAGAAUUCAAGGAAAAUGAACAAUUCCACCCACGAUUUCAUUUUAGAAAAAUAAAAACUUGCACAUGGCCGUCGAGGAAUUAAAGUACUCUUCAAACAACCAGCCAGUAACAAUAAAGAAUAAAGAGUCGAAGCAGGCAGCAUCGUUCGUUCUACGAUUAAACGUUCUCGCACAAUAUUUCUCCAUCGUGGAAAACUGUCGAGCCCUCUCCAAACUCUUAAUUUCUUCUGUCAACCAUCGACGAAUUAUUCAAAUUAUAAGAUGUUUUGGCAUACACUCUUUGACAAAUAUACAAAAGCUACGAUUCAUGAUCGAAUCGUAUAAAAAAAAAAAACAAUGAAAACAUUGUUAAAAGAGAAAGAAAGAAAAAAGAAAAAUAGAAUUCCAUUAUGGACGUGUUUGCUAAUGGAAUUUCCGUUCUGAAUAAAUUUCACAACGAGCAGUCGUACCACAUCUUUCCACGUAACGUGGCGCUUUAAUGGAUUUUUUUAGGCGACUUCCGGUAUUAAAUGAACGUCGUUAAUGGCUCCAUAUUCGGUUUCUUUUUUCUUUCGAAGAACGGAAGAAAAAGUUUAAUAUUGUAAAGUUACAUUGCAUCGAAGUUUCGUGGAUUCGGCAAAUUGGUUCGAUAGAUUAUAUUAUGUUAUUAACGUUAUUACGAAUAAAUAAAGUUAACGCAAGUACAUUUACAUUCACACAUUUUUAAAUACUCGAAUCUAUAUUUGAAAUUAAUUUCAAUAUGUUGAUGUUCCAGGAUAAAUAUCGUAGAUCGGUUAUCCAAGCACAUAUUUCUAGAAAUUGGUAAAAAUAAAUCCAAUUAAAUGGACAGAAAGUUAUCGUAUAUUUAUUGUAUAUGAAAAAUAUCGAAACUUUGAAUUUUUUUACAAGAGGAAACGAUAUAUCGAAUUAAA